rnacentral:tRNA from 1 species
GCGGGCGUGGCGGAAUUGGCAUACGCGACGGACUUAAAAUCCGUUCCUUUCGAGGUUGAGGGUUCGAGUCCCUCCGCCCGCACCA